AAGCAUAAAAAUAACC
rnacentral:sRNA from 1 species